rnacentral:rRNA from 1 species
AUUGAACGCUGGCGGCAUGCUUUACACAUGCAAGUCGAACGGUAACAGGCCUUCGGGCGCUGACGAGUGGCGAACGGGUGAGUAAUGCAUCGGAACGUGCCCAGUCGUGGGGGAUAACGCAGCGAAAGCUGUGCUAAUACCGCAUACGAUCUAUGGAUGAAAGCGGGGGACCGUAAGGCCUCGCGCGAUUGGAGCGGCCGAUGUCAGAUUAGGUAGUUGGUGGGGUAAAGGCUCACCAAGCCAACGACCUGUAGCUGGUCUGAGAGGACGACCCGCCACACUGGAACUUAGACACGGUCCAGACUCCUACGGGAGGCAGCAGUGUGGAAUGUUGGACAAUGGGCGCAAGCCUGAUCCAGCAAUGCCGCGUGCAGGAAGAGGGCCUUCGGGUUGUAAACUGCUUUUGUACGGAACGAAACGGCGAGCUCUAAUACAGUUUGCUAAUGACGGUACCGUAAGAAUAAGCACCGGCUAACUACGUGCCAGCCGCCGCCGUAAGAC